rnacentral:rRNA from 1 species
GACGAACGCUGGCGGCGUGCUUAACACAUGCAAGUCGAACGGAAAGGCCCUGCUUUUGUGGGGUGCUCGAGUGGCGAACGGGUGAGUAACACGUGAGUAACCUGCCCUUGACUUUGGGAUAACUUCAGGAAACUGGGGCUAAUACCGGAUAGGAGCUCCUGCUGCAUGGUGGGGGUUGGAAAGUUUCGGCGGUUGGGGAUGGACUCGCGGCUUAUCAGCUUGUUGGUGGGGUAGUGGCUUACCAAGGCUUUGACGGGUAGCCGGCCUGAGAGGGUGACCGGCCACAUUGGGACUGAGAGACGGAGCAGAGUCCUACGGGAGGCAGCAGUGGGGAAUAUUGCACAAUGGGCGGAAGCCUGAGGCAGCAACGCCGCGUGCGGGAUGACGGCCUUCGGGUUGUAAACCGCUUUCGCCUGUGACGAAGCGUGAGUGACGGUAAUGGGUAAAGAAGCACCGGCUAACUACGUG